AUAUUAUCGUCGACGCCUUUCUUUCUCUCCAGUUUCCCCUCCAUUUCCUUGGUUUUUUUUUUGGUUGUUGAUUGAUUGGUCUGGACCGUAUGGGAACGCCGGAGACGUCGCGCGAACCGUGCCCGGACCGGAUCCUGGACGACGUCGGCGGGGCGUUCGGGAUGGGGGCGGUAGGUGGGUCGGCCUUCCACUUCAUCAAGGGCCUUUACAAUUCCCCAAACGGCGAGCGGUUCGCUGGCGGCGCCCAGGCCGUCCGCAUGAACGCCCCCCGCGUCGGCGGCAGCUUCGCCGUCUGGGGUGGCCUCUUCUCCGCCUUCGACUGCUCCAUGGUCUACCUCCGCCAGAAGGAGGACCCCUGGAACUCCAUCGUCGCCGGCGCCGCCACCGGGGGGUUCCUCCAGAUGCGCCAUGGUGCCGGCCCCGCCGCCCGUUCCGCCCUCUUUGGCGGCAUACUGCUCGCCCUUAUCGAGGGCGCCGGCAUCAUGCUCAACCGAUUACUCAGCGCCCCCCAGAACAUCCCCGACCCUGCCCUUAUGGUGCCGCCGCCCAACGUCCCCGCUACGGCCGGCGCUGGAGGUGGUAUCCCCCAGAUGGGAUACCAAUCCACUGUAUCGAUGGCUGAAGAUACCACUGGCUCUUCCUCCUCUUCUUGGUUUGGAGGAUGGUUUGGAGGUGGGAAGAAGCAGGAUGAUGGCAACAGUGGAGGUGGAGGAAGCAAGACGGAAGUUCUGGAGAGUUUUGAUACGCCGAGCACUCCGAUCCCGACUUUUGAGUACAAGUAGGACAAGGGAACGGGAAUUUUGUUUGUGUUUGAGGGUUUUGCAACUUCAAGUUUAGCUUGGGGCUUUUGAGCUUUGUGAAACAAAAGCAUAUUAUGCUACUUUGAAUACAAGAAAAACAAGCAGAGGUGAAGAGGAAGUCGCAUAUCAGGCUUGGGAAGAAUCUGCAAAAGGCAUCUGAUAUUUGUUGAGGAUCAGGCAUCCAAAAAGAGAUAUUAGAAGCUGAUUGACUUAAUUUUACAUAAACUAUCCAAAAAGAGAUACUAGAAACAGGUUACCUUAAUAUUAAAUUACAUAAAGUGAGCUGCCUCCUGCAUCUCUACCUCUUAAUAUUUGUUUAUAUGAUGGCUACAUUUUUAAUGCCCUUAGAUACUCUUGUAGGUUUAGUAUGUGUAUACUGGGAGGAUAAACUAAAAUUGAAGCUUUGUUCAUGCACUUAUCUGGAUUCUAUGCAGUUAAUAUUAAUUAAGGGUGAGUUUGCAAGUUAAUAA